AAGCUCCCAGUUCGUCUGAUGCUGCAGGUCUAUGGACCACACCUUGAGCUGUUCUGCUCUAAAGCAGGGACUCCCAAAUUUCAGUGAGCAUGAGAAUCAACUAGGGUUGUUGAAACGCAGAUUGCUGGGCCUGCCCCUACCAGGCAUUCUGAUUCCAACAAGAUAACUUCACCUGACACUUGGUUUGUAAAAUUUAGAAGAGAGAACAUGCAGUGUUCCAAGUAUGACUGAUUAUGCGCAAGAUAGUCUUCCUUUUGGGGACUCCCAAAAAGGCCUAAGAAGAUAAAAGGCCAAGUAAGGUGCUUUGUUCGCCACUGCGGGUGACUGAGAGGGUGGCUGGAGGACCAACUCUGACCAUACUUAGGCCCUACGAGUAAAGGAAAAGAAGGAAGGCAUUGGGCUGUGAUAUUUUUAAUGAGGAUCGUUACACUUAAAAGACCCCCAAAGAACCCCAUUUUCAGUAUUUUUGAAGUGGAAUACUCACCUCUUUUUACCGAAAUGUCGAGGUUGAAGUGUUUUCAGCAUCUCAGGAGAGUUACUCUCAAAAUAUUUCAAAGUAAAUCUCUUAGUAGUAAUCUAUUCACAUGCAUUUCAGCUAAAUCUCUGAAUGUCCAAAUCCUCCACUGGAAUAAACCUCUGUGACAGGGACACUCUCAGCAGGGGGCUGGGAGUCAACCCGUGGCAGGGAUGCUUGAUCAGAAUCACAUGGUGGGAAACUGCCACACGUGCUAUUGAUAUUCUGAUAUGGCUUCUCAGGUGCGAGUCUCUCUUCCUCCCCAUCUCCCUUCCUUCCCACGCGGAGAAUUCUAGCUGAUUUUAUGGAGGAGAAUGUGUGGGAUGUAGGGGCUGAGAGAAGGUAGUUAAAUACAGGUUUCCCCUGCUGUCUGAAAGUUUGCUUUACGCCACUUUGCUUUUACUAGAGACCUACAUUAGUGCCUGUUUUUGCUAAAUGAAAGGAAUUCGAAGAGGAUUUUUGCUUUUACAGAAAAAGGAGAAAAACGAAAAUAGCGUUCAGCGUUUGUUUUGUAUCAAAGCGUUAUAAGGUUAAGCAGUCAAGCAUACCAUCAUAUUUCAAGCUUUUGCAUCAGCCACAUCAACCACAGCAGAUGAUGAACCUUGACCUUGGACAUGGAGGCAGCAGACAUAAAAGGUGUAGAUGUCAGUGACCUGCCUGCCCUGAUGGGUUGAGACGACAAUGAGAUGUUGAUAGAUGACUCUCUUCCUCUCUCUCCUACACCCCAUCUCCUGUACCUCCCACCACCCCAACCUCUGAUGGCUGAGCCCAACACCCCAUCACCACCACUGCCACCACUCAGCCUUCCUGUGUGCUCGCUGGCUUCCCGAUUCUGGUGACUGGCACUGCCUAAGAAGAGGAAAACGUCUUCUCCACUUUAUAUGUUAAUGCUGUUCUGAUACCUUUUUCCCCAUAAAAACAAACAGAAACCCCAUAAUCUGUUGAAAAUAUAGAUAUUGGUAACUCGCUAGUGAAUGAAUGUAUGGGUGAGCGCUUGAUGUGAAUUUUUGAGUUUUAUUUUUAUUUAAAUUACUUUUUGCAAUAUUUGACAGUUAUCUGCUUGUCUUGAUAAACCCACUAUCCAAGGAGAACCAACAGUCAAUUUAGUUUAUUUAAAUAGAACCAACACGUUGAAUUUUGCCAAAUGUUUGAUUAUUAACGCUGCAAUUAACUCUUUCUGUUUCUAGUGAGAUUUAAAUAAUGAGAAUUAUAUUUAACUCUUUCUGUUUCUAGUGAGAUUUAAAUAAUGAGAAUUAUAUUGUUGAUAUAUUAAGCAAACCAAGAAGCAAAUUAUUUCUUGAGGAUGUCAUAAUAAGAGAGACUUCUGCUCUGAAGACCUUUAAGUUAUCAUGUUGGUUUAUUCAUACAAUAUAGUGUGGUUCCUUAGCCAGAGUUCUCCAGAAAAACAGAAGCAAUAGAAUGUGUACAUAUAUAUAAAGAGAUUUAUUUUAAGGAAUUGGCUCACAUGAUUGUGGGGGCUGGCGAUUCUGAAAUCUGCAGGGCAAGCUGGCACUGGCGAUUCAGGGAAAAGUUGAUGUAGCUCCAGUCCGAAGGCACUCUGCUGGGAGGAAUUCUUCCUCCUUGGGAGACCCCAGUUUUUUCUCUUAAGACCAUCAGUUGAUUAGAUGAGGCCCAUCCACACUAUGGAGAGCAAUCUGUUUUACUCAAAAUCUACUGAUUUAAACGGUAAUCACAUCUAAAAAAUAUUUUCAUAGCAAAAUCUAGACUGGUAAACAAAGGGAGCAAGAAUAGCUUUCCAGAAUGGAUGCAAGAAAAUUUUAUAUGGAUCCCAUAUAAGAGGUGAGACUAAACAGAGGUCAUUUUUCUCCAGUUCUCCUAUACUUCCGG
ensembl:lncRNA